rnacentral:rRNA from 1 species
CAGGUGGAUCAUACCAGCACUAAUGCUUUGGAUCCGAUCAGAAUUCCACAGUUAAGUGUGUUUGGGCGAGAGUAAUACUAGGAUGGGUGACCUCCUGCCUCUUUUUUUUUUUUGG